rnacentral:rRNA from 1 species
AUGGCCGCGGGAUUCGACUGACUGAAGCUACCUUGUUACGACUUCACCCCAAUCACUAGUCAUACCUUGGGCACCUGCCUCCUUGUGGCUAGUACGGGGACUUCUAGUNCAACCAGCUUGCAUGAUGUGACGGGCGGUGUGUACAAGGCCCUGCAACGUAUUCACCGNGGCAUGCUGAUCCGCGAUUACUAGCGAUNCCAGCUUCAUGCAGUCGAGUUGCAGACUGCA